CGUUCGAAAGGUGAAAGGAGAACUUCUGUGCGACGCAUCGAACCGUCGAACGCGACUCGCAAUGGCUAGCCUGUUGAACGUAUACCCGCGAGAUAAGCAGAGACGAGUGACCUUAAUCUAGGAAAUGGCCACUAAGAGGUGUUCCCUCCACGAGGGAACAAGCAAAGCGAAACGCGGACAAACGGUCGCAGAGAGGAUAACGUCUGACCCAGGAUAGAAACGGUUAGACAGAGAAGGUCCUCGAUCUUCGUCUCUUGGUUGCAUCCGUUCAACGGUUAAACGAACGGGACGAGCGUCGUUCGGAAACGAGAAUACUCGGACCGUUCCGAAACUCGGUCAACGACUUAACCAGAUUUGUUGGAGAAAACUUUUCGGAAAAUUGACGAAGGACGAGCGUCUACGACGUCGUCCCCGUUGUUACUCGGUUCGGGACAAAACAUCUUCCAAGCAACAGAAGAAGC